AGAGUUUGAUCCUGGCUCAGAUUGAACGCUGGCGGUAGGCUUAACACAUGCAAGUCGUGCGAGAAAGUAUCUUCGGAUAUGAGUAGAGCGGCGGACGGGUGAGUAACGCGUAGGAAUCUACCUAGUAGAAGGGGAUAGCCCGGGGAAACCCGGAUUAAUACCGUAUACCUCCUUCGGGAGAAAGAAGGCCUCUCUUUGAAGCUUUCGCUAUUAGAUGAGCCUGCGUAAGAUUAGCUUGUUGGUGAGGUAAAGGCUCACCAAGGCGACGAUCUUUAGCUGGUCUGAGAGGACGAUCAGCCACAUUGGGACUGAGACACGGCCCAGACUCCUACGGGAGGCAGCAGUGGGGAAUAUUGGACAAUGGGCGCAAGCCUGAUCCAGCCAUACCGCGUGUGUGAAGAAGGCCUUCGGGUUGUAAAGCACUUUAAGCAGGGAGAAAAAGUUAUAAGUUAAUACCUUAUAACCGUGAUGUUACCUGCAGAAUAAGCACCGGCUAAUUCCGUGCCAGCAGCCGCGGUAAUACGGAAGGUGCAAGCGUUAAUCGGAAUUACUGGGCGUAAAGCGCGCGUAGGUGGUUUGUUAAGUUGGAUGUGAAAGCCCUGGGCUCAACCUAGGAACUGCAUCCAAAACUAACUCACUAGAGUACGAUAGAGGGAGGUAGAAUUCAUAGUGUAGCGGUGGAAUGCGUAGAUAUUAUG
rnacentral:rRNA from 1 species